rnacentral:rRNA from 1 species
GUGGGGAAUAUUGGACAAUGGGCGGAAGCCUGAUCCAGCAAUUCCGCGUGGGUGAAGAAGGUCUUCGGAUUGUAAAGCCCUUUCGGCGGGGACGAUGAUGACGGUACCCGCAGAAGAAGCCCCGGCUAACUUCGUGCCAGCAGCCGCGGUAAUACGAAGGGGGCUAGCGUUGCUCGGAAUUACUGGGCGUAAAGGGCGCGUAGGCGGCGCAGUUAGUCAGGCGUGAAAUUCCUGGGCUUAACCUGGGGACUGCGCUUGAUACGGCUGUGCUAGAGGGUGGAAGAGGCUCGCGGAAUUCCCAGUGUAGAGGUGAAAUUCGUAGAUAUUGGGAAGAACACCGGUGGCGAAGGCGGCGAGCUGGUCCAUUACUGACGCUGAGGCGCGACAGCGUGGGGAGCAAACAGGAUUAGAAACCCCUGUAGUCC